rnacentral:rRNA from 1 species
GCAUAUCAAUAAGCGGAGGAAAAGAAACUAACAAGGAUUCCCCUAGUAACGGCGAGUGAAGCGGGAAGAGCUCAAAUUUGAAAUCUGGUAGCCUUCGGUUGCCCGAGUUGUAAUCUAGAGAAGUGUUUUCCGCGUUGGCCCAUGUACAAGUCCCUUGGAACAGGGCGUCAUAGAGGGUGAGAAUCCCGUCCUUGACAUGGACCCCCAAUGCUUUGUGAUACACUUUCAACGAGUCGAGUUGUUUGGGAAUGCAGCUCAAAAUGGGUGGUGAAUUCCAUCUAAAGCUAAAUAUUGGCGAGAGACCGAUAGCGAACAAGUACCGUGAGGGAAAGAUGAAAAGCACUUUGGAAAGAGAGUUAAACAGUACGUGAAAUUGUUGAAAGGGAAACGAUUGAAGUCAGUCAUGCUCUUUGGAUUCAGCCGUUCUGCGGUGUAUUUCCUUUGAGUGGGGUCAACAUCAGUUUCGACCGCUGGAAAAGGGCAGGAGGAAGGUAGCACUCUCGGGUGAACUUAUAGCCUCUUGUCGUAUACAGUGGUUGGGACUGAGGAACGCAGCAUGCCUUAUGGCCGGGGUUCGCCCACGUACAUGCUUAGGAUGUUGACAUAAUGGCUUUAAACGACCCGUCUUGAAACACGGACCAAGGAGUCUAACAUAUCU